rnacentral:rRNA from 2 species
UCUCUGCCCCGGGUGCGUCGCAGCCCCGGACCAAGGCGCCCGCCGGAGGACCAACCAAAACUCUUAUUGUAUACCCCCUCGCGGGUUUUUUUAUAAUCUGAGCCUUCUCGGCGCCUCUCGUAGGCGUUUCGAAAAUGAAUCAAAACUUUCAACAACGGAUCUCUUGGUUCUGGCAUCGAUGAAGAACGCAGCGAAAUGCGAUAAGUAAUGUGAAUUGCAGAAUUCAGUGAAUCAUCGAAUCUUUGAACGCACAUUGCGCCCGCCAGUAUUCUGGCGGGCAUGCCUGUCCGAGCGUCAUUUCAACCCUCGAACCCCUCCGGGGGGUCGGCGUUGGGGAUCGGCCCUGCCUUGGCGGUGGCCGUCUCCGAAAUACAGUGGCGGUCUCGCCGCAGCCUCUCCUGCGCAGUAGUUUGCACACUCGCAUCGGGAGCGCGGCGCGUCCACAGCCGUUAAACACCCAACUUCUGAAAUGUUGACCUCGGAUCAGGUAGGAAUACC